rnacentral:lncRNA from 1 species
ACAGAGAAAUAAAUUUGAAAGUUAUCAUUCCACCUCCCUCCCCAUUAAGGGAGAUAAUCAUUUGACUCUGGUAAUGUAUAAUACAUAAUUGCAUUUCUCUUCUUCUUACUUUUCCGUAAAGAAAGUUUAUGGGAUGUUGCAAUUAUAUUUUUAUCAGUACUCAAUCAAGAUUCAAGUUGUGACCUUUGGAAUUUCAAAUGAUUUUACACUGCAUAGAUGUGUACAUUGUACCAUGCAUCUAUCAUUAUUUAAAAUUGUACGGAUGUUGAUAUUUAUUUACAAUCAACAUUGCCUAAACACAGUUAGGUCUUCAGAUCACCACUUGAAUUUUAUAGCUACUCAAGAUUAGACCAAAACAUGUUCCUUAAUGAGAAACCAUCCUUGUCGUCUUGCUUGCUACUCCUGCUACUACUGCUUAUGCUAGAGUUUGUAUUUGACAAAGUAGUUAAUUGAGAAGAUGCUAUUUUGAGGAUUCAAUUGUCACCAGGCAGUGGCUCCAAUUUAUCAUCUUAGUGUCUCCAAGGUUUCUGGAUUCACAGGUCGCCCUGAAUUAUCUCUUGCAUACAUACAGCUGGCAUGGAACCCUUAGAAAAUCUAUCCUUCAAACUAUUGACUCCAUUUGCUCUCUGCCACUGGCAUCUGUUGACAAUAAAUGGAAAACAAAGUUAGCACUGCAAGCCAUAAAUACAGUAACUACAUCUCCCUCUAUCAACCAAUGUGACAUCUUCAUUCGAUUAGAGUGUACACAAUCUUAUUCCUGUGUCAAAAGCGAAUAUAACAAAUAUAUGAGUUGUUUAAUAUUACACUUCUACUCAAACGUCAAUUUAGAUAGUAAUAUAAUCAGUAUAAUCUAAUAAAUAAAGUCAAAAAAGGACUCUUCUGAUAUCUGCUAACAAUCCUACCCUGUUUUGAGUAGUAAUAUCCAACAUCAAUUUCUGUACAGAUCAUAUAGUCACCUAAUAUAUUUCGUUAGUGCACUUUAUUAUAGGUAAGGGGUAAAAUAGAUUAUAAAGAAAUAGUAAACAGUGUGCUAGUUAAUCCAUUUCGAAAAUGUAUUGUGUACUUAGGCAUAUGCUUCAAGGAAUCUGGUAAUAUUGUUUUCCAAUACAAGUUAACUAUUUCAGUAUUCAUGUUGUCGUCCUUUCCAAUUUCUGAUCUUUUGUUACAAGCUUCUGCUAUGCCCAUAGUCCAUAGAAGGUCCGAACCACAAGCGUUUAUUCUAUAUGUAGAAACUAAAACUAAUUAAUCUCUAUGAAGAUACAAGAGUAUUCAGUUGAUAUACAAUAUAAUCAAAGACCAUCACACUCUCAAAGGACAUAGAAACUUGUUCAUCAGUUAAACUUGUUAAAAGAACACACAUUGUAUUCAUUUUUCCCAAACACAUCAUUCACACCUUAUAUAACCCACAUUACUAUUCUCAACUCGAUUCAUUCCGGAAUCAAGAACUGAUUUUUCUAUAUCAAUUUAUUUUGACUUUCAUCAUUUCAGAAGUAAUAUUGCCAACCUAAAACGCCCCAAAUUUCUAAAGUCCAUUCAGCUCUGCCAUAUUAGAAUCAACUAAGCCAGAGGAUCCAGGAGACGAAUACAAACUAAACCUUGCUUUACACAAUAAUGCCAACAUAAAGAUAAUUAACUGAUAUUUUACCUUGUUGAGUUUGAGAGACCAGGAAUGGAGUUUGCAAAAGUAGUUGAACAACUCCGUAGAGGAAAUCCAAAUCAACAGUUACUACAUCCAAUCUUUUGCAGCUACAGUAAAACUUGGCUAUAGACACUACUUCUAUCCACUAAAAAGGACCACUGUUAUUUUCUAAAUAAUGGAAUAUUUUAAGUUAUACAUUGAUCAUCAAUUUAGAUGUAAAACUUGGCCAUAGACACUACUUCUAUCCACUAAAAAGGACCACUGUUAUUUUCUAAAUAAUGGAAUAUUUUAAGUUACACAUUGAUCACCAAUUUAGAUGUAAAACUUGGCCAUAGACACUACUUCUAUCCACUAGAAAGGACCACUGUUAUUUUCUAAAUAAUGGAAUAUUUUAAGUUACACAUUGACCAUCAAUUUUGAUGCAAAAGCAAGAAGCAGUAUGUUUUGGUUUCAAACAUAACAAUAAACAAUGGUUUCUUGUAUAAUAUGGAUAUGCCAUAUUACCUUGUACAAAAAUAGUUUUUUAUUUUCAUAAUAUUUGCAUAUAUAGAUAUAUUUUGACAUAAAAAAAAAACAAUAUCAAAAUUGUUUUCUUCAUUGACUAUAUAUAUAUAUAUAUAGCUAUUAAAAUUACCUCGUUUUUCCUCCUUACACAUUUCUUCUUUUACUUCUACUAUUUUAUGUUGUCUGCCUCCUAAUCUCUUUGCUUAACUCCAAAAAACUUAGAAUGUGAUUCCAUUUUUAACUACUCUUCUUCUUCCUGCUAAUGUUCUGCAAUAAUAAAAAAAUAAUUCUUCAGAUAACUCCUACUAAUAUUUCAUUAUAUAAUUACUAUCACCAACUCAAUAAAUUAAAUAUAUAGGCAAAUAAAAAACGAAAGAGGUGACAAAAUGCACAUCCAAUAAAAGAGACUGAAAUAAAUGGUAAAAGAAUAUUACGUAAGAAGCAAUAUAAAAAAUUGCUCUAAGUGAUGCAUCGUCUCAAACUUUGAGUUUGUAAACGGAUUAAAUCAAAUAUAGCAUAGGACUUGAUUAAAUAUCCAUCAAAACUAUUAUAUAUCCAACACAAAUUUAAAUCAACACCACAUAGAGAACUUUUCAUCAUGCUGGAAAUAUAAGGAUAUUGAUAAUAUACAUUAGAAGGGAAUUGUCAUAGAAGAGCAAACCUAUAUCAAGGUCAUGAAUGUCAUCAAGCACAAUAUCAUGGGCCUAUUUUAGUAAUAAGUUCUGCAUCUAUGUACAACUAUAAACGUGAUUAGUAAGAAUAAAACUCAAUUAAAAGAAAUAUAGACAAUGUAAAAUUGAAUAUGGGAAUGAUUCACUACUCAUCUAUAUAUACAACCAGAACUGAGGUAUGAAAGGGGCAAAUAAAUCAGCAGAGUAUUUAUCACUAAUUAUCAGAGAUUUAUACACAAUUUAAGACAUUACAGUUACAAAUAAGGAAGAUGAAGCAAUGCGGUUUAUGGAAAACGUACCUUUGGUUGUUUGGAGGGAGAAGGUCGCAAUAAUUUGGAACGUGUGGAUGUGAGAAGAACAACUCCUUGGAGGGAGAAGCUCACCAGGAAUUGGAAAAGUCUGAGGUAAAAAGAACGUUUGGGCUGGGUCAUUAUUGUUGUGGACGUGGGCUGGGCUUUACUGUAAUAUAUUAUUAUCUGAUUUAAUAGGUGACAUGUGGGCUGGAGCUAAACAAUUAAUUUGUUAUGUUAUUUAUUUAGCUAUUAUAAUAUAUGGAGGGG